UACGUAGGUCCCGAGCGUUGUCCGGAUUUACUGGGCGUAAAGCGAGCGCAGGUGGUUUAUUAAGUCUGGUGUAAAAGGCAGUGGCUCAACCAUUGUAUGCAUUGGAAACUGGGAAACUUGAGUGCAGAAGAGGAAAGUGGAAUUCCAUGUGUAGCGGUGAAAUGCGCAGAGAUAUGGAGGAACACCAGUGGCGAAGGCGACUUUCUGGCCUGUAACUGACACUGAGGCUCGAAAGCGUGGGGAGCAAACAGG
rnacentral:rRNA from 1 species